CAGCGACUUAUAUUCUGUAGCAAGGUUAACCGAAUAGGGGAGCCGAAGGGAAACCGAGUCUUAACUGGGCGUUAAGUUGCAGGGUAUAGACCCGAAACCCGGUGAUCUAGCCAUGGGCAGGUUGAAGGUUGGGUAACACUAACUGGAGGACCGAACCGACUAAUGUUGAAAAAUUAGCGGAUGACUUGUGGCUGGGGGUGAAAGGCCAAUCAAACCGGGAGAUAGCUGGUUCUCCCCGAAAGCUAUUUAGGUAGCGCCUCGUGAAUUCAUCUCCGGGGGUAGAGCACUGUUUCGGCAAGGGGGUCAUCCCGACUUACCAACCCGAUGCAAACUGCGAAUACCGGAGAAUGUUAUCACGGGAGACACACGGCGGGUGCUAACGUCCGUCGUGAAGAGGGAAACAACCCAGACCGCCAGCUAAGGUCCCAAAGUCAUGGUUAAGUGGGAAACGAUGUGGGAAGGCCCAGACAGCCAGGAUGUUGGCUUAGAAGCAGCCAUCAUUUAAAGAAAGCGUAAUAGCUCACUGGUCGAGUCGGCCUGCGCGGAAGAUGUAACGGGGCUAAACCAUGCACCGAAGCUGCGGCAGCGACGCUGAUGCGUUGUUGGGUAGGGGAGCGUUCUGUAAGCCUGCGAAGGUGUGCUGUGAGGCAUGCUGGAGGUAUCAGAAGUGCGAAUGCUGACAUAAGUAACGAUAAAGCGGGUGAAAAGCCCGCUCGCCGGAAGACCAAGGGUUCCUGUCCAACGUUAAUCGGGGCAGGGUGAGUCGACCCCUAAGGCGAGGCCGAAAGGCGUAGUCGAUGGGAAACAGGUUAAUAUUCCUGUACUUGGUGUUACUGCGAAGGGGGGACGGAGAAGGCUAUGUUGGCCGGGCGACGGUUGUCCCGGUUUAAGCGUGUAGGCUGGUUUUCCAGGCAAAUCCGGAAAAUCAAGGCUGAGGCGUGAUGACGAGGCACUACGGUGCUGAAGCAACAAAUGCCCUGCUUCCAGGAAAAGCCUCUAAGCAUCAGGUAACAUCAAAUCGUACCCCAAACCGACACAGGUGGUCAGGUAGAGAAUACCAAGGCGCUUGAGAGAACUCGGGUGAAGGAACUAGGCAAAAUGGUGCCGUAACUUCGGGAGAAGGCACGCUGAUAUGUAGGUGAGGUCCCUCGCGGAUGGAGCUGAAAUCAGUCGAAGAUACCAGCUGGCUGCAACUGUUUAUUAAAAACACAGCACUGUGCAAACACGAAAGUGGACGUAUACGGUGUGACGCCUGCCCGGUGC
rnacentral:rRNA from 1 species